GACCACGUAGCUCAGUUAGAAGAGCAUUGGGCUAGUAUUCCAAAGGUCGUAGGUUCGAAUCCCACCGUGGCCG